ACCAUGGGUCAGCAGCAAACUAUUCAGCCUCCAGCCCCUCUCCCAUUCCAGGGUUGUGGGACUGAAAGUCGUAAUCCUUGAUUCUUCUGGUAACCAGCCCCCUUCCUUAGGUGAUCUAGGGGCUCUCCAAAAGUCACCUCACUUGCAUAGUGAACCUGCAGCCUAGAGAAGGGAAGUGGUUGCCCAGGGACAGAGAACUACAAAGAGACAGAGAUGCCAAGGAAGCUUGCCCUGGACCCUGAGGAAGGGGGAUGCUUGGGGCCGGACCAGUGCUGCCCCUGCUGCCUGGAGACUGGCCACCAGGAGGAAAUGGACCCCCCUCGUUGCAACCCCUCAGGCCUGCUCCACACAAUCGCUGCACCACACACCUGCCGUAAGGAGAGAGCUGUCUCUUCACAACCCCGUUCACCAGACCAGGUGACUUCUUGGUGACUUUCUAAAAAUGGGAAGGUGACCCAGCCUCCUGGCAGCCUCAUGGUGGUCCAGUA